rnacentral:rRNA from 1 species
UACGUAGGGUCCGAGCGUUGUCCGGAAUUACUGGGCGUAAAGAGCUCGUAGGUGGUUUGUCGCGUUGUUCGUGAAAACUCACAGCUCAACUGUGGGCGUGCGGGCGAUACGGGCAGACUUGAGUACUGCAGGGGAGACUGGAAUUCCUGGUGUAGCGGUGGAAUGCGCAGAUAUCAGGAGGAACACCGGUGGCGAAGGCGGGGUCUCUGGGGCCGAUACUGACGCUGAGGAGCGAAAAGCGUGGGGGAGCGAACAGG